rnacentral:rRNA from 1 species
AACGCGAAGAACCUUACCAGGGUUUGACAUCCCGUGCUAUGUCCAGAGAUGGGCAGUCCCCGCAAGGGGCGCGGAGACAGGUGCUGCAUGGCUGUCGUCAGCUCGUGUCGUGAGAUGUUGGGUUAAGUCCCGCAACGAGCGCAACCCUCGCCUUUAGUUGCCAUCAUUCAGUUGGGCACUCUAGAGGGACCGCCGGCGGCAAGCCGGAGGAAGGUGGGGAUGACGUCAAGUCCUCAUGGCCCUUACACCCUGGGCUACACACGUGCUACAAUGGCGGUGACAAUGGGCAGCUAACCCGCGAGGGCAAGCUAAUCCCAAAAAGCCGUCCCAGUUCAGAUUGCACUCUGCAACUCGGGUGCAUGAAGGUGGAAUCGCUAGUAAUCGCAGAACAGCAGGCUGCGGUGAAUACGUUCCCGGGCCUUGUACACACCGAUAGC